rnacentral:rRNA from 1 species
AUGGAAAUGCCAGAAUCACAACGUUCUGGUGGCCCUCGGGGCAUCCCACUCAUCUGGCUUCGUGAUAACUUUCGUAUUUUAUCUAGCUUCGCCAAUGAGGAGACGAGAAAAAGACAUAUGUUUGCGUAUUUGUUGUGGCUCCUCGGGACUCUGUUUCCAAAUUCACAUGGGGACGCAGUUCUCCCUGGUCUCAUCUACAUUGCAGAGAAUAUGGUAGAUGAACCUUUACCCGAGCAGCCAAAAUACAGCUUCGGUUCUGCCAUGCUAUCUCAUACAUACAGAGGCUUGUGUGAUGCCACGCAAAAAACCUCUUUCGCACAAAAAGCUCCAUUACUUUGUGUCGCCUACGAGUUUCUACAGUUGUGGUCCUGGGAAUACCUCCCUGUAGGACGACCUCGUAUAGUACAACCCGUACACCCAUACGACUUUAGCGAGGGUGGCAGCGCAACUAUGGCCACCAGGUGGACAAAGGCACGGAAACGUUGGUCUCCAGAUAUUGCGAAAAAUUGUUACCCUAUGUACCACCAGCAGUUUGAGAUACUUGAUGAGGCAGAAGUCACAUGGAACCCGUGGACUCAGGACCAGCUACAAAUGGUCUUUGAUGCUCGACCCUUCACACCAGGCAUCUUGAGCGAUAGUGCAUUCUGGCUGACUCGCUGCAACUUAUUGUUCAUGUGGUGUGUUGAGCCUUACAACCCAGAGCGUGCUAACCAAUAUGGGCAGGGGUUGGAGUUUAUACGAUUGGAGGGAACAGAAUAUUCAAUGGGUACACAAGAACGAGCGCCGUUUGCAAGAGGGAAAAUCGCCCUAAAUCACGGGCGUGGGAAUGAGCGCGUGCAAAGCAACAUGGAAUCAAGCACGGCCCGUCUGCGUCCGUUGUCGCGUCUACCAGAGAUGCCGCCUGCUCCCGUGGCGGCCUAG